rnacentral:rRNA from 1 species
GACGAACGCUGGCGGCGUGCUUAACACAUGCAAGUCGAACGGUAAGGCCCUUCGGGGUACACGAGUGGCGAACGGGUGAGUAACACGUGGGUGAUCUGCCCUGCACUUCGGGAUAAGCCUGGGAAACUGGGUCUAAUACCGGAUAGGACCACUGCCUGCAUGGGUGGUGGUGGAAAGCUUUUGCGGUGUGGGAUGGGCCCGCGGCCUAUCAGCUUGUUGGUGGGGUGAUGGCCUACCAAGGCGACGACGGGUAGCCGGCCUGAGAGGGUGACCGGCCAAACUGGGACUGAGAUACGGCCCAGACUCCUACGGGAGGCAGCAGUGGGGAAUAUUGCACAAUGGGCGCAAGCCUGAUGCAGCGACGCCGCGUGAGGGAUGACGGCCUUCGGGUUGUAAACCUCUUUCAGCAUCGACGAAGCGCAAGUGACGGUAGGUGCAGAAGAAGGACCGGCCAACUACGUGCCAGCAGCCGCAGUAA